rnacentral:rRNA from 1 species
GCACAAGCGGUGGAGCAUGUGGUUUAAUUCGACGCAACGCGAAGAACCUUACCAGGGCUUGACAUCCCCUGACCGCGUAUGAAAGUACGUUUUCACCCUCGGGUGACAGGGAGACAGGUGGUGCAUGGUUGUCGUCAGCUCGUGUCGUGAGAUGUUGGGUUAAGUCCCGCAACGAGCGCAACCCCUACGUUUAGUUGCUAACGCGUGAAGGCGAGCACUCUAGACGAACUGCCGUUGACAAAACGGAGGAAGGUGGGGAUGACGUCAAAUCAUCAUGCCCCUUAUGUUCUGGGCUACACACGUGCUACAAUGGCCGGUACAGACGGACGCAAAGCCGCGAGGUGGAGCAAAUCCUAAAAAGCCGGUCUCAGUUCGGAUUGCAGGCUGCAAUUCGCCUGCAUGAAGUCGGAAUCGCUAGUAAUCGCAGGUCAGCAUACUGCGGUGAAUACGUUCCCGGGCCUU